rnacentral:rRNA from 1 species
GAGCGGAUGACGGAAGCUCGCUCCCUGAUUUAGCGGCGGACGGGUGAGUAAUGCCUAGGAAUCUGCCUGGUAGUGGGGGAUAACGUUCCGAAAGGAACGCUAAUACCGCAUACGUCCUAUGGGAGAAAGCAGGGGACCUUCGGGCCUUGCGCUAUCAGAUGAGCCUAGGUCGGAUUAGCUAGUUGGUGAGGUAAUGGCUCACCAAGGCGACGAUCCGUAACUGGUCUGAGAGGAUGAUCAGUCACACUGGAAAUGAGACACGGUCCAGACUCCUACGGGAGGCAGCAGUGGGGAAUAUUGGACAAUGGGCGAAAGCCUGAUCCAGCCAUGCCGCGUGUGUGAAGAAGGUCUUCGGAUUGUAAAGCACUUUAAGUUGGGAGGAAGGGCAGUAAGUUAAUACCUUGCUGUUUUGACGUUACCGACAGAAUAAGCACCGGCUCACUUCGUG